rnacentral:tRNA from 1 species
GCCUGAGUGGCUCAGUCGGUUGAGCUUCCGACUUUGGCUCAGGUCGUGAUCUCUAGGUUCGUGGGUUCGAGCCCCGCAUCAGGCU